AUCCAUGAUGGCCGAGACAUUUAGGCAUCGAGCUUUUAACUCGAUCACAGUUUUAACAACUUCAGGAUA
rnacentral:tRNA from 2 species